CCCAGACUCCUACGGGAGGCAGCAGUGAGGAAUAUUGGUCAAUGGCCGAGAGGCUGAACCAGCCAAGUCGCGUGAGGGAUGACGGCCCUACGGGUUGUAAACCUCUUUUGUCGGGGAGCAAAGAGAGUCACGUGUGGCUCAUUGAGAGUACCCGAAGAAAAAGCAUCGGCUAACUCCGUGCCAGCAGCCGCGGUAAUACGGAGGAUGCGAGCGUUAUCCGGAUUUAUUGGGUUUAAAGGGUGCGCAGGCGGAGGUGCAAGUCAGCGGUCAAAUUGCGGGGCUCAACCCCGUACUGCCGUUGAAACUGCAUCCCUUGAGUGCGCGAGAAGUAUGCGGAAUGCGCAGUGUAGCGGUGAAAUGCUUAGAUAUUGCGCAGAACUCCGAUUGCGAAGGCAGCAUACCGGCGGCGAUCUGACGCUGAGGCACGAAAGCGUGGGUAUCGAACAGGAUUAGAUACCCCGGUAAAA
rnacentral:rRNA from 1 species